GACGAACGCUGGCGGCGUGCUUAACACAUGCAAGUCGAACGGAAAGGCCCUGCUUUUGUGGGGUGCUCGAGUGGCGAACGGGUGAGUAACACGUGAGUAACCUGCCCUUGACUUUGGGAUAACUUCAGGAAACUGGGGCUAAUACCGGAUAGGAGCUCCUGCUGCAUGGUGGGGGUUGGAAAGUUUCGGCGGUUGGGGAUGGACUCGCGGCUUAUCAGCUUGUUGGUGGGGUAGUGGCUUACCAAGGCUUUGACGGGUAGCCGGCCUGAGAGGGUUGACGGCGACAAGGGGGCUGGGGACAGGGCGGGCGCGGGGCGGGAGGGAGGAGUGGUGAAUGGUGAGAGAGCGGCGGAGUCCUGAAGCAGCAACGCCGCGUGAGGGAUGACCGGCUGGGGGUUGUAAACCGCUUUCGCCUGUGGCGGAGGGUGAGCGGAGGAAAGGGGUAAAGAAGCACCGAGUACCCACGUGCCAGCAACCGCGAUAAUAGCUCGGAGAACACCUCUGAAC
rnacentral:rRNA from 1 species